AAAAUCCUAGUUUUCAUUUGCUUCGAACCCGGGACCCCCAGUUCGGAAGCCAAGCGCUUUACCCCUCAGCUACCGCGCAUCCUAAGCAGUCAUUAAAUCAUUUUUAGCAUUCGUGUUAUCGUAUUCUUUAAUUAAUAAACUGUUUCAGUUCUCAUAGUGACAGAACCAUGACAGCCAGGAGUAACAGCGUGCAGUGGAAACUAGGUCAAGGCAACAAUGGGGUUUUUGAUGUCACGGGUCAAAGUCAUGUCCAAGGUCCAUUUUCUAGAAGUUUCAAAGUCAGAUGCAGGGCUCCUCCAAGCUGGAUGCGAAUGAAAUGGGGUCGAUCUAAGACCAUGAUCUUAUGAAAAAAAAACUAAUUUUACAAACUGUUGAGCUAUAACUGUUAUCUUGCUUUAUGGGAAUAUUCCUGGGUUGCAAAAUAAUUUUUUUUUUAUUUUUUUUUUUAUUAGACAUAUAUAGUGUUACCAAAGAGAGAGAGAGGGGGGGGAACUAGAGAGAGAGAGACGGAGACAACUACUUAGAGAGAAUGAGAGAACUAGAGAGAGAAAGCUAGAGAGAAAGAGAGAAAGAAAGAGCUAGAGAGAGACAGAGAAAUAGAGAGAAAGAGAGAGAGAGCAAGAACGCGAGCUAGAGAGAGAAAGAGAGAGAGAGAGUUACUUAGAGAAAAAAAAAGAGAG